rnacentral:rRNA from 1 species
CCUACGGGGUGCAGCAGUAGGGAAUAUUGCUCAAUGGGGGAAACCCUGAAGCAGCAACGCCGCGUGGAGGAUGAAGGUUUUCGGAUUGUAAACUCCUUUUGUUAGAGAAGAUAAUGACGGUAUCUAACGAAUAAGCACCGGCUAACUCCGUGCCAGCAGCCGCGGUAAUACGGAGGGUGCAAGCGUUACUCGGAAUCACUGGGCGUAAAGGGCGCGUAGGCGGGAUAGCAAGUCAGAUGUGAAAUCCUAUGGCUUAACCAUAGAACUGCAUUUGAAACUGUUAUUCUAGAGUAUGGGAGAGGUAGGUGGAAUUCUUGGUGUAGGGGUAAAAUCCGUAGAGAUCAAGAGGAAUACUCAUUGCGAAGGCGACCUGCUAGAACAUAACUGACGCUGAUGCGCGAAAGCGUGGGGAGCAAACAGGAUUAGAUACCCGGGUAGUC